CUGGGCGGGACUGGAACCGGCACUUGGCACCCCUUACGCCUUACGGUGGCCGCUGCGCCCAGUCACAUCUAUUGCAUUUCUCUGGAAUGACCACAGCAAUAUUUCCAGCCCUUGAUGAUCUUCUAGAACUUUGCCACUUCCCUGCAUCAAGAGAAAAUCUUGGAAGAAGAACACUUCUUUGAUGACGUUGUCAGAGAGAAAUGGAUGUUCUCCUAAAUGGGAAGCCUUAAUUCUGUGUGUAAUUUAUAAAGCCAUGGAGAAGAGGAGACAGAGUGUGCAAGGGAAUGAAGAAAAGGAACAAGACUAUUUUCAAAUCACCCAUGGCACUACUAGAAAUGUAUUUCAGCAAAAGGACUGGCUGAUUUUAUGAUUCCUGUGUCCACCACAGCCCUCUAAUUUUUACAUAGGUACCCCACAUCUCUCUAGAUUUCAGGAAGACUAUUAUCCUUCGACUUUAGCUUUCUGAUGGGUUCACAAAAAGCCAUUAGUGUGCUGUUGGUCCAGCUUUUUUCUGUUGCAAAUAUGAGAGCUACAGUUCUGAGAUGAAACCACAGAUGAGGAAAUUAAGGAGUCAAAGGGGUUCAGCAUUUUUUUCCAUAGUCUCAUUACUGGGAAGUGGCAGAUCUAACCAGAAUGUCAAAAUAUUUACACUGCACCCUGCUUGGCUAGGGUAAGUAUGGAACAAUGGUAAGACUCCUGCCUGAAAGUCAGGAAACCCAUGUUCUAGUCUUAAAGAAAUCAUCGAGUCUCUUCCUCUAGGAAAGGCAUAUAGAUUGAAGUCUUUGUUGGGGUCAUAAUUCCCUCUCAAGCCUCCUGUUGUCUCUGAUUAGUAGACUGUGCAUAUAAUUGACAUUUACUGAGGAUUACUUUGAGUAAGAUUGUCCAUAGUAAAUAUUAGCUGUUGGACUCUAAUUUCUUUCAGAGGUGGUGCUAUUAUUUUUCAAUAUAAUGGGAAUGAAAAGAAAGCAUUAAUGCUCAAUUCUCAAAAGAUUUAUAUAAUUUGUGAGUCACAGACUAUAAGUAAUCAGAUGUUCAGAAACACUUAAAGAAGCUCCAGGGAUAACGCCAGCUUCUACUCUGGAGUGGGAGUUAAUGCACUUCCCCCGCAGAAUGAGCUGAGCAGUCAGAGUGCUUAUCUGAGUAAUUUAGGCAAAACUUGUGGGUUUUAAAAAUAUGCCUGAAUUUUGUGGAUAAUUACACCAACUCUUAUUUCACUGGAGACUUAUAGAAUGACCCUAUAGUCAUAGAUUAACCAUGACAAACUUAAACUUUUAGAAGAAUGAAUUCAUGCAUAUAAAUGAGGAUAUGGUAUAAAUGAAGUUUCCUUUGGGACAUGAUUCACCUUUUCUAUCUUCUCCUUUCCACAAGUAUUAUUUUUCUUUUAUGAAUCAUCAUACUCUCACAGCAAGGAAGGCAUUACAAAAUCACCAGUGUCAUCAAAUCUUAUUCUUGAUACCCUACAAUCAGGCUGUUUUGUGAGCUUCAAUUUCACUUACCAUUUUCCCCAAAGAAAAGGAACAGGUUUUCUCCUAAAAUCUCUCUAUUCUACAUGAGAAUAGGAAGGCCUAUCUAGGUUAUCAAGACACUCUUUGUGCCUAAGAAUUGCCUCUGAAACAACUGUGGUAGGAAUUUUAAGUAGAUUAUCUCCUUUGAACUUCACAGCGUGUUUAGAUGCUAUGGCUUGGCCAAAUACAUAAUUUCCCUAUGUGGCCAGGGUGCCAGGAUUGAUACCCACGUUGCCUGACUUCGAAGCCCAUGCUCAUCCUACUACUCCAUGCUUCUAAGGGGUGUUCUAAAGCAAAUUGCAAUGUUUCCUAGUUAAGUCCAUGGCUGAGAGGGAUUGUACAAUGAGCUGUUUGAUGACCUGAGAGCUAAGAAAUGGGGAUUAUUAGGGAAGAAUCAAAGGAAGGAUAAGAAGUGGACAGGAGGAUAAGUGUGAUGGGGGGAGACGAGAAAGCCAUGUUUUUUUUUUUUUCUUCCUGCACUGUAGUUUUGCCAAGAAAAAGUCCUUACUAUAAGAUUACUUUUAACAGCAACUUUAAGCUUUAUAUGUUUAUUCACAUGGUGACAGUUCUUGUUUAUGAUUUCAGGUUUAUUUUUAAGAGGAUACUCAUAAAACUUGAUAUCAUGAGGUAGUCUUUAAUGUCCCACAGAUUUCUUUUUCGGAGUUUCCCCUUUCCUUAUACUUGUGACCUCUAAUCCUACCUUCCAAGAAAGUUUACCAUUCCUGUUGAGCAUCUACCAUGAAGAAAGUACUCUGACCUUGACCCCCCAGCUUUCUCUCUACAUGAUUCUCUUCUCCCCACACAGGUCUCUGUAGUCCUGGCCUUUCCAUUUUCUGACUUGCCUGCAAAAUUUGCCAGUCACAAGUUCCAUUUCUUUAGGAACCUAAAGAAAUCCAUACAAAUAGUCUGUGUUAAUGGUUAAGUGUUUAUUCCGUGUGGAUAACAUAGUUGUACUUGGCCAGGGGGCCUUCUGAAUAAAAUGUUUUUAGGUUUCAUGAAAAUAACUUAUGAUCUAUUAGACUCAUAGUAUUUUAAAGCUAAAAGCAAACUUAGAAGAAAUUCUGGUAUAAUUUCAUCAGUUUUUCAAAUGGGAAAAUGAGGCCAAAAGGCAUUCCUAGAAUUUAGUUCUUAAAUCACACUUUCAAGAUAGUGAUAUGGCAAUUAUUCCUUCAAUUAUUGCUUCAGAAAUGGGCCAAAAAAAAAAAA
rnacentral:lncRNA from 1 species